CAUUCAAAGGUUCAAUAUCCAAGUUAGCAAUUUGACUCAACACCAACAAAGAGCUAGCUUCAUAUACAUCAACAAUCACCCUAUUCUUCAGAACUACAAUGAACGGAAAGAAAGGUAGCAGUAUUCAGA